rnacentral:lncRNA from 1 species
AUCAGAGGCUCCUGCAACUUAUUCUUUUAUUUUUUCAAUGCCCCUUGGCAAUCAUUAUUCCACCUGACCGUUUGAUCUUUUUUCCCUUGAAUGGGUUCCCACGUGGCUGUUAGGUGAGAUGUGAACCAUGACAUGUAGUUCAAUCUACCUAGGAGACCACGAACCUCUUUCCAUCCUCGGUUCAGGUAUUUCUCUUAUUGUUUUUUUUU